UGAGGCUGACAGGGGCUUUCGGCCUGGGCCCCCCAGUCAGCACCCCCGGCCGCCAGGGCUGUGCUGGCGACACGGGACCAACCUAGCCCACCCACUCUGCCGUCCAGGGCUCCUGUUGCACUCGGCGCAUCCCAAGACCCCAGGGGUCGCCCCUCUCGCCAGUGAGACCUCCUCACACAGGCGCCGGAGGCUCAGAUUUGAGCAGGUGCUGUGAAGGAAAGGCUGUGCCUGUCCACAGGGGUCCUGCCACGGGGAAAGGCGCCACCCUGGAGUCAUCACCAGCAGCGGGCAGGAACGCGGACACUGUGCCCAGCACACGCACGAGCCCGUGUGGUCCUCACCACGAUCUCUGACGGAAGACAUUGCUACCAUCCCACAUCACAGAGGAGAAACCGAGACAGAGUAACGUCCCGCAGACACAACAAGGCAGGUCCUGAAGGUGGGAGGGCGAGGCAGAGGCUGGGGAGUGGUGCUUCGUGGGUCUGGGCCGCAGGCACGGUGAGAUCCUUCCAGGAGACACCCACACCCACACCCACACCCACACCGGCUCUCGGGGGCCAUGGAAGGGCCUGACCUCCUGUCCCACACGUCCUCCCCAGACUUGCUUGGGCCUUUCCCUUGCUGUUCUCUCUGCUUGGGAUGUCCUUGCCCACAUGGCAGACGGCCAAGCCGCACCACAGUCGGGUCCUGCAGCACGCAGCGCCAGCAGCCCCCUGUGCAGGAGCCCUCCUGCCCCCCCCCCCCCCCCCCCCCCCCACAGCAGGGCUCCAGGCUCCGGCCUUGGUUUCUCCGCCUGGGCUGGUCUCAGCACUGACGUUGCGGCUCAGUGAUGAUGGGGGAGGCAUCUCCCACCUGACGCCCCCGGGCCUGGGGUUCACGGGACCCUGCCUGCCAAAGCUGAGGGGAGCAGAGAGAGGCUGGACUGGAUGGCGCAGCCACAGGUUGGGAGCUGAGCCGCGCUGCCCCAGCCCGGUUCACAUGGCUGGGAGACGGCCAUCCCUGCCCCCAUCGCCAGGGGGUCAGAAAGUGAAAGAAUGUUCAAAGUCAACAAGUCACCAGAGAGCCAUGCCCAGGACUGCAUCACAGACAGAGGUGCUGGGGAAGUUCUGGGCCCAGGGAACAGGGCACGGACAGCGCCCCCCCCCCGCGCGCCCCCCCCGCCCCCCCCAGGACCCAGGGGCAGCGGGGGAGCCACCACUUGUAAAGUGGAAGUCGGGACCACUGCCAGCGCCUGUCCCAUGCCCACGGCCGUCCGAGGCCAGGAGUGCAUGUUUUGCAGAGGCCGCGGUGGAGACAGGAGCGGAGCCACAGCGGCCUCAAGUUCCCCAUCGGGGCACGCACUGGAUAGUGCGGUGGCGGCGAACACAGCGGGUGACGUAACCGUCUGCCCGCUGCUGGCCCCGGGCCCGGAGGCUGGGAUCCUGCGCGUCCGGGCGCGCACGAGCGGGAGGGGAUGCGGGGGCCGAAGUUAGAGGCCGGCACGGGAGGCGGGGGAAGGUGGCGCCCAGGCCACCCCGCCGCGCGGCUCGGCGUACGCACCUGCCGGCCCGCCCGGCGACCCCGCCGGCGUGGCCCUAGCCCCCGGACCGCACGUCGGACCCGACGGGGGGGGGGGGGGGCGCACGCGGAGCAGAGACCCCGGCACCCCGCAGGGCGGAAGCGGGCGCGCAGCCGGCCGGCGACCCCCGGUGCCCGGGGAGCAGCGGGCGCGGGGCCCAGAGAGGGCGGGCGCCGGCCAAGAUCGCACAGCGGCGAGGGCGGGGCGGGGCUUACCGGGGCGUCCGGGGAGCCGGGCGAGCCCGGGCGCAGGUCGCCGUUGAGCUCGAACUCCUCGGUGCCCGAUUCCAUGGUGCG